rnacentral:rRNA from 1 species
UGGGGAAUAUUGCACAAUGGGCGCAAGCCUGAUGCAGCCAUGCCGCGUGUGUGAAGAAGGCCUUCGGGUUGUAAAGCACUUUCAGCGAGGAGGAAGGUGGUGGACUUAAUACGUUCAUCAAUUGACGUUACUCGCAGAAGAAGCACCGGCUAACUCCGUGCCAGCAGCCGCGGUAAUACGGAGGGUGCAAGCGUUAAUCGGAAUUACUGGGCGUAAAGCGCACGCAGGCGGUUUGUUAAGUCAGAUGUGAAAUCCCCGGGCUCAACCUGGGAACUGCAUUUGAAACUGGCAAGCUAGAGUCUCGUAGAGGGGGGUAGAAUUCCAGGUGUAGCGGUGAAAUGCGUAGAGAUCUGGAGGAAUACCGGUGGCGAAGGCGGCCCCCUGGACGAAGACUGACGCUCAGGUGCGAAAGGCGUGGGGGAGCAAACAGGAUUAGAUACCCUGGUAGUCCACGCUGUAAACGAUGUCGAUUUUGGAGGUUGUGCCCUUGAGGCGUGGNUUCCGGAGCUAACGCGUUAAAGUCGACCGCCCUGGGGGAGUUACGGCNCAAGGUUAAAACUUAAAUGAAUUGCGGGUCUAGCGUUCC